rnacentral:tRNA from 1 species
ACUUGGGUGGCUCAGUUAGUUGAGUGUCUGACUUGGGCUCAGGUCAUGAUCUCAUGGUUCGUGGGUUCGAGCCCCACGUCAGGCU